rnacentral:lncRNA from 10 species
AUCUUUAAACAAGACAAAGGAUCGAUCUUUUAAAACACAAGGUCACUUCGGGAACCUAGAUCAGGAAGAGGCCCUGCUUCCUGUUGCUGCGAAGUCAGCCAGACAGAGCAGGAAAGACUGUGGCCUACCCUGCCGAUGGUGCUCUUGUAGGCUGUCCUGAUCUCCUGGCGCUGGGCGGUGUUGCGGUAGGCAAGGACGCUAAUAAUGGCGUCUUCAUCGGUGCCUGGGGGAAGAAGGGAGACAGCAGCUUUGCUGCUAAAGGGAUCUGCAGUCCAGCUGAAAACCUGCCCUUGCCUGAGCCCAGCCACUUUCUCCCAGAGAAAACUGGAGAACCUAAACAUGAUUGUGAACAGGUAAGUGGAGCAAACUGGGUAAAAGAAAUAAUAAGAAUUACUGUUUGCAUUCUUUGUAAAGUUUUAAUUAAUGAAAAAGGAUUUUCUUAAAGAGCAUUCAGCUUAAUUAAAAGUGGAUAUCCAAUCAAUGGGUAUAUUUAAAAGGCCUUUAUGUUUUUCUCUUCAUAAAUCUUCUUAAAUAAAUCUUCAUAAAUCUGGAAACUUUUUUUUCUCAGUUGACUGAAUUGCUUUUUUUUUUUACUGUGUCUUGCCACUCUUGGUGCACCUAGAAUGGCUUCCGGUGGCCUGGGACUCCUUGGGGAAACAGAAAAUGCACCACAAAUCCCAUUUUAGGAAAAAUCUGUUUUCCUCGGAGCCCCUGGAAUUAAAGAAACCAUCAAGCUUCAGAUGGUGCUGAAAAUGGAGCCGAAAAUGAAACUGCCCUCCUACGAGGGACCCUUAAAUCAACCCCAGGAGGAGCCCUAGCUGCUGUUCCCCACACAACGCCACUCUCCAGCAGGAAGUAGCCAGAAGAAAUCGUCACCCAGUUUCCCCUAGCAGCAGCGCAGUAAGAUUGAGGAGCUAAAAACAGACUUGGGUGGAUGUCUGCAGCUGCAAGAAGAUGUGUGGGAACAGACACAGAAACUCUCCCUCCCAGAUAAGCAAGACAAAGAAACACAGAAUAAGAGUCCAUCUAUGUGGUCAGAGAAUGGGAUAAGAGCUGAUUUAAAAAAACUCUGCUCUAUAUAGAAGGCACACCUGGUCCCAACCAAACCACUGGACCCUAGGAGGAUAAGACCUCCUCUGCUCAUGAGCCCCCUCCUCAGUAGCCCAUUUAUAAAAACCCUGACAAUUUUACUACCACUUGGCAACCCGCUCGGGACCCCUCUCUGUGAUGGAGAGCUGUUCUUUUCUUUUGCCUAUUAAACUCCUGCUCCAAACUCACUGUGUGUGUGUCUGUCUGCAACCUCAAUCUCCUUGGCCAUGACACCAAAAACCUUAGUAUUUACCCCAGACAACAAGGCUGCUUCACCAGCCUUCUCACAUUAAAUUCCACACAUUGCAUGUCGGUGCUGUCACAGCUGUGUCUAUCACCACAGCAACAAGCAGACGGACUC